GUUGGGUAGGGGAGCGUUCUGUAAGCCUGUGAAGGUGGCCUGUGAGGGUUGCUGGAGGUAUCAGAAGUGCGAAUGCUGACAUAAGUAACGAUAAAGCGGGUGAAAAGCCCGCUCGCCGGAAGACCAAGGGUUCCUGUCCAACGUUAAUCGGGGCAGGGUGAGUCGACCCCUAAGGCGAGGCCGAAAGGCGUAGUCGAUGGGAAACGGGUUAAUAUUCCCGUACUUGGUGUUACUGCGAAGGGGGGACGGAGAAGGCUAUGUUGGCCGGGCGACGGUUGUCCCGGUUUAAGCGUGUAGGUGUGUGUUCCAGGUAAAUCCGGUUCACUUUAACACUGAGGCGUGACGACGAGGCACUACGGUGCUGAAGCAACAAAUGCCCUGCUUCCAGGAAAAGCCUCUAAGCAUCAGGUAACAUCAAAUCGUACCCCAAACCGACACAGGUGGUCAGGUAGAGAAUACCAAGGCGCUUGAGAGAACUCGGGUGAAGGAACUAGGCAAAAUGGUGCCGUAACUUCGGGAGAAGGCACGCUGACACGUAGGUGAAGUGAUUUACUCACGGAGCUGAAGUCAGUCGAAGAUACCAGCUGGCUGCAACUGUUUAUUAAAAACACAGCACUGUGCAAACACGAAAGUGGACGUAUACGGUGUGACGCCUGCCCGGUGCCGGAAGGUUAAUUGAUGGGGUCAGCGCAAGCGAAGCUCCUGAUCGAAGCCCCGGUAAACGGCGGCCGUAACUAUAACGGUCCUAAGGUAGCGAAAUUCCUUGUCGGGUAAGUUCCGACCUGCACGAAUGGCGUAAUGAUGGCCAGGCUGUCUCCACCCGAGACUCAGUGAAAUUGAACUCGCUGUGAAGAUGCAGUGUACCCGCGGCAAGACGGAAAGACCCCGUGAACCUUUACUAUAGCUUGACACUGAACAUUGAGCCUUGAUGUGUAGGAUAGGUGGGAGGCUUUGAAGUGUGGACGCCAGUCUGCAUGGAGCCGACCUUGAAAUACCACCCUUUAAUGUUUGAUGUUCUAACGUGGACCCGUUACCCGGGUUGCGGACAGUGUCUGGUGGGUAGUUUGACUGGGGCGGUCUCCUCCUAAAGAGUAACGGAGGAGCACGAAGGUUGGCUAAUCCUGGUCGGACAUCAGGAGGUUAGUGCAAUGGCAUAAGCCAGCUUGACUGCGAGCGUGACGGCGCGAGCAGGUGCGAAAGCAGGUCAUAGUGAUCCGGUGGUUCUGAAUGGAAGGGCCAUCGCUCAACGGAUAAAAGGUACUCCGGGGAUAACAGGCUGAUACCGCCCAAGAGUUCAUAUCGACGGCGGUGUUUGGCACCUCGAUGUCGGCUCAUCACAUCCUGGGGCUGAAGUAGGUCCCAAGGGUAUGGCUGUUCGCCAUUUAAAGUGGUACGCGAGCUGGGUUUAGAACGUCGUGAGACAGUUCGGUCCCUAUCUGCCGUGGGCGCUGGAGAACUGAGGGGGGCUGCUCCUAGUACGAGAGGACCGGAGUGGACGCAUCACUGGUGUUCGGGUUGUCAUGCCAAUGGCACUGCCCGGUAGCUAAAUGCGGAAGAGAUAAGUGCUGAAAGCAUCUAAGCACGAAACUUGCCCCGAGAUGAGUUCUCCCUGAGACUU
rnacentral:rRNA from 1 species